rnacentral:rRNA from 1 species
UACGUAGGGCGCAAGCGUUAUCCGGAAUUAUUGGGCGUAAAGAGCUCGUAGGCGGUUUGGCAAGUCGGGUGUGAAAACUCCGGGCUCAACUCGGAGACGCCACUCGAUACUGCCAUGACUCGAGUCCGGUAGGGGAGUGCGGAAUUCCUGGUGUAGCGGUGAAAUGCGCAGAUAUCAGGAGGAACACCGGUGGCGAAGGCGGCACUCUGGGCCGGUACUGACGCUGAGGAGCGAAAGCGUGGGGAGCGAACAGG